GCCUGGGUGGCUCAGUUGGUUAGGCCUCUGACUUCAGCUCAGGUCAGGAUCUCCCAGCUCGUGGGUUUGAACCCCGCAUCAGGCU
rnacentral:tRNA from 1 species